rnacentral:rRNA from 1 species
UGGGGAAUAUUGCACAAUGGGCGAAAGCCUGAUGCAGCAACGCCGCGUGAGUGAUGAAGGCCUUCGGGUUGUAAAGCUCUGUCUUUUGGGACGAUAAUGACGGUACCAAAGGAGGAAGCCACGGCUAACUACGUGCCAGCAGCCGCGGUAAUACGUAGGUGGCAAGCGUUGUCCGGAUUUACUGGGCGUAAAGGAUGCGUAGGCGGAUUUUUAAGUGAGAUGUGAAAUACCCGGGCUUAACUUGGGUGCUGCAUUUCAAACUAGGAAUCUAGAGUGCGGGAGAGGAGAAUGGAAUUCCUAGUGUAGCGGUGAAAUGCGUAGAGAUUAGGAAGAACACCAGUGGCGAAGGCGAUUCUCUGGACCGUAACUGACGCUGAGGCAUGAAAGCGUGGGUAGCAAACAGGAUUAGAUACCCUGGUAGUCCACGCCGUAAACGAUGAGUACUAGGUGUAGGAGGUAUCGACCCCUUCUGUGCCGCAGUUAACACAAUAAGUACUCCGCCUGGGAAGUACGAUCGCAAGAUUAAAACUUAAAUGAAUUGACGGGGUCAUAGCUGUUUUCC